ensembl:snRNA U6 U6 spliceosomal RNA
GUGUUCACUUCAGUAGCACAUAUGCUAAAAUUGGAAGGAUACACAGAAGAUUAGCAUGGCCCCUGCUCAAGGAUGACACACAAAUUUGUGAAGCAUUCCAUAUUUUU